rnacentral:rRNA from 1 species
UGGGGAAUUUUGGACAAUGGGCGCAAGCCUGAUCCAGCCAUGCCGCGUGCGGGAAGAAGGCCUUCGGGUUGUAAACCGCUUUUGUCAGGGAAGAAAUCUUCUGAGUUAAUACCUCGGGAGGAUGACGGUACCUGAAGAAUAAGCACCGGCUAACUACGUGCCAGCAGCCGCGGUAAUACGUAGGGUGCAAGCGUUAAUCGGAAUUACUGGGCGUAAAGCGUGCGCAGGCGGUUUUGUAAGACAGAGGUGAAAUCCCCGGGCUCAACCUGGGAACUGCCUUUGUGACUGCAAGGCUUGAGUGCGGCAGAGGGGGGAUGGAAUUCCGCGUGUAGCAGUGAAAAUGCGUAGAUAUGCGGAGGAACACCGAUGGCGAAGGCAAUCCCCUGGGCCUGCACUGACGCUCAUGCACGAAAGCGUGGGGAGCAAACAGGAUUAGAUACCCUGGUAGUCCACGCCCUAAACGAUGUCAACUGGUUGUUGGGAAGGUUCCUUCUCAGUAACGUAGCUAACGCGUGAAGUUGACCGCCUGGGGAGUACGGCUGCAAGGUUGAAAACUCAAAUGAAUUGACGGGGUCAUAGCUGUUUCCU